rnacentral:ncRNA from 14 species
GGCAUAGAGCUUUCGUCAGGUGCCCGUGUUAGGCGGGAGAAUCGGGAAUUCGGUGAGAGACCGAAACGUGCCCAACGCUGUAAGGCUGACGACUGCCGCAACACGCCACUGGCCCAGCGCCGGGAAGGCGCGGCAGUUGGAUGACGCCAAGUCAGAAGACCGGCCCGACAUCAUAGACUGACC